AGUGUUCCUUCAUUGAGCAUGACUGGUACAACUUUGAUACAUUGAUUCCUUGUAUGUAGUUGAUCUUUACAAACUUGACUUGUUCUCUGUUGAGUACGGCUGCAUGGAUCACAAAAGUGAUUGUUGAUGCUGAUUGAGUGGACAAUUAGUGUUAACAUUUACAUGGGAUGAAAACUCUACGAUGGGAUCAUGUUUUAUAAUAUCCUACAAUUUGAAUUUUCAUACUAAUCUUUGCUUAUCCUGACAAGUAUAUUCCUUAUGUUCUGUUUGCAUAUCUGACUAAUUUCUUCUACAGCACUUUGCGGAUUUGCUUGCUGAACAAUUUUGCUCACUGAUGAUGCAUGAAGGGUAUAUCGUGGAAGAUAAUAUCCAACCAAAGCCUACCCACAUGAAGUUUGCCUCAAGUAGUCAUCCAAAUG
rnacentral:misc_RNA from 1 species